GACGAACGCUGGCGGCGUGCUUAACACAUGCAAGUCGAACGGAAAGGCCCUGCUUUUGUGGGGUGCUCGAGUGGCGAACGGGUGAGUAACACGUGAGUAACCUGCCCUUGACUUUGGGAUAACUUCAGGAAACUGGGGCUAAUACCAGAUAGGAGCUCCUGCUGCAUGGUGGGGGUUGGAAAGUUUCGGCGGUUGGGGAUGGACUCGCGGCUUAUCAUCUUGUUGGUGGGGUAGUGGCUUACCAAGGCUUUGACGGGUAGCCGGCCUGAGAGGGUGACCGGCCACAUUGGGACUGAGAUACGGCCCAGACUCCUACGGGAGGCAGCAGUGGGGAAUAUUGCACAAUGGGCGGAAGCCUGAUGCAGCAACGCCGCGUGCGGGAUGACGGCCUUCGGGUUGUAAACCGCGUUCGCCUGUGACGAAGCGUGAGUGACGGUAAUGGGUAAAGAAGCACCGGCUAACUACGUG
rnacentral:rRNA from 1 species